GUGCCUUUUGUAGAAUGAACCGGCGAGUUACGAUUUGAUGCAAGGUUAAGCAGUAAAUGUGGAGCCGUAGCGAAAGCGAGUCUGAAUAGGGCGUUUAGUAUUUGGUCGUAGACCCGAAACCAGGUGAUCUACCCUUGGUCAGGUUGAAGUUCAGGUAACACUGAAUGGAGGACCGAACCGACUUACGUUGAAAAGUGAGCGGAUGAACUGAGGGUAGCGGAGAAAUUCCAAUCGAACCUGGAGAUAGCUGGUUCUCUCCGAAAUAGCUUUAGGGCUAGCCUCAAGUGAUGAUUAUUGGAGGUAGAGCACUGUUUGGACGAGGGGCCCCUCUCGGGUUACCGAAUUCAGACAAACUCCGAAUGCCAAUUAAUUUAACUUGGGAGUCAGAACAUGGGUGAUAAGGUCCGUGUUCGAAAGGGAAACAGCCCAGACCACCAGCUAAGGUCCCAAAAUAUAUGUUAAGUGGAAAAGGAUGUGGCGUUGCCCAGACAACUAGGAUGUUGGCUUAGAAGCAGCCAUCAUUUAAAGAGUGCGUAAUAGCUCACUAGUCGAGUGACACUGCGCCGAAAAUGUACCGGGGCUAAACAUAUUACCGAAGCUGUGGAUUGUCCUUUGGACAAUGGUAGGAGAGCGUUCUAAGGGCGUUGAAGCAUGAUCGUAAGGACAUGUGGAGCGCUUAGAAGUGAGAAUGCCGGUGUGAGUAGCGAAAGACGGGUGAGAAUCCCGUCCACCGAUUGACUAAGGUUUCCAGAGGAAGGCUCGUCCGCUCUGGGUUAGUCGGGUCCUAAGCUGAGGCCGACAGGCGUAGGCGAUGGAUAACAGGUUGAUAUUCCUGUACCACCUAUAAUCGUUUUAAUCGAUGGGGGGAC
rnacentral:rRNA from 1 species